rnacentral:rRNA from 1 species
AAUGAACGCUGGCGGCAGGCCUAACACAUGCAAGUCGAACGGAUCCUUCGGGAUUAGUGGCGGACGGGUGAGUAACGCGUGGGAACAUACCCUUUGGUACGGAAUAGCCUCGGGAAACUGGGAGUAAUACCGUAUGUGGUCGAGAGACGAAAGAUUUAUCGCCAAAGGAUUGGCCCGCGUUGGAUUAGGUAGUCGGUGGGGUAAUGGCCUACCAAGCCGACGAUCCAUAGCUGGUUUGAGAGGAUGAUCAGCCACACUGGGACUGAGACACGGUCCAGACUCCUACGGGAGGCAGCAGUGGGGAAUCCUAGACGAUGGGGGAAACCCUGAUCUAGCCAUGCCGCGUGAUCGAUGAAGGCCUUAGGGUUGUAAAGAUCUUUCAGGUGGGAAGAUAAUGACUGUACCACCAGAAGAAGCCCCGGCUAACUCCGUGCCAGCAGCCGCCGUAA